ensembl:lncRNA
GAGAACCCUUGUGACCUGUUGAUGGAAAUGUAAAUUGGUGCAGAAUCAUGGAAAAUAUAACUUUUAUGAGUUUCAGUUACGUCAUCUAUUUGCUUGCCCGUGUUUAAGUGAAAUGAGUACUUGGCUUCUCUGGUGGCUCAGAUGGUAAAGAAUCUGCCUACAUUGUGGAAGACCUGGGUUCGAUCCUUGGGUUGUGAAGAUCCUCUGCAGAAGGAACCAGCUACUCACUCCAGUAUUCUGGCCUGGAGAAUUCCAUGGACUGUAUAGUCCAUCGGGUUGCAAAGAGUGGGACACGACUGAGCAACUUUCAGUGAAGUCUCUCCUUAAGGUGGACUUUGCCCUGGAAGAAAGCUUUGGUCACUUAGAGUUGAGAGUUCAUGGGGCUCACACUACUCCAGCCGUCCUGCUCUUUCUUGGGACUUGGAGUCUGCAAAGCUCCUCAGAUUGGC